rnacentral:rRNA from 1 species
AUGCAGUCGUACGAGAGCUUCUAGCUCAGUGGCGGACGGGUGAGUAACACGUAGGAAUUUACCUUUAGGAGGGGGACAACAGUUGGAAACGACUGCUAAUACCCCAUAUGCUUUAUAGUGAAACGGUUUUUCCGCCUAAAGAGAAGCUUGCGGCUGAUUAGCUUGUUGGUAGGGUAAUAGCCUACCAAGGCGACGAUCAGUAUCUGGUUUGAGAGGAUGAUCAGACACACUGGAACUGAGACACGGUCCAGACUCCUACGGGAGGCAGCAGUAGGGAAUUUUCCGCAAUGGGCGAAAGCCUGACGGAGCAAUACCGCGUGAGGGAUGACUGCCUAUGGGUUGUAAACCUCUUUUUUCAGGGAGGAAUCAAUGACGUGUACCUGAAGAAUAAGCAUCGGCUAACUCCGUGCCAGCAGCCGCGGUAAGACGGAGGAUGCAAGUGUUAUCCGGAAUCACUGGGCGAAAGCGUCUGUAGGUGGUUAAAUAAGUCAACUGUUAAAUCUUGGAGCUCAACUUCAAAAUCGCAGUCGAACUAUUAGACUAGGGUAUAGUAGAGGUAAGGGAAUUUCCAGUGGAGCGGUGAAAUGCGUAGAGAUUGGAAAGAACACGAUGGCGAAGCACUUUACUGGGCUAUUACUGACACUCAGAGACAAAGCUAGGGUAG